UUCUUAUUCUGAGAAGCUUCGCAUUAAAAAACAAAUUUUAAUAACUUUACAGUUUAAUUAGUUUAAUAAGGUGAAAACAAGAUGUAGCAACUGCAGAGGCGGAAAUGUGAUAAGGUGAAGCAAGCACUGUACAACAGCGCCACCUGGUGGAGGGAAUAUGUUUGUGCGCUGUGUUAGUAAACUUGCAUAAGUGGACCUUUAAUGUCAUUUAUGGUAAAUGUAUAGCGCUUUACACAUCCAGUCAUCCACACACUGGUGAUGGCAGCUACAUUGUAGCCACAGCCACCCUGGGGCGCACUGACAGAGGCGAGGCUGCGGGACACUGGCGCCACCGGGCCCUCUGACCACCACCAGUAGGCAACGGGUGAAGUGUCUUGCCCAAGGACACAACGACCGAGACUGUCCAAGCCGGGGCUCGAACCGGCAACCUUCCGAUUACAAGGCGAACUCCCAACUCUUGAACCACGAUCGCCCCAUGUUUAUGAAAACAGAGAAGAGAAAAUGAGACAAUAAAUCCACUGUAACCAAGACAUUAUAAUAAAGUGAAAGUGAAACGCCCUUUCCUGCUGCAAGCCGCUCCCUUUAAGCAGAUUCCAACUUUCUCUUUCACAAAUGUUCCCGCUCGACUCCAGAUCACAGCUGGGGCAGUUGUUCGAUCUGAUGGAAUGAGUGACGUUCAAUCACUGACUGGGAGCUUUGGGGAGACCCUGACCCUCGACAAUCCAGAUACUCCAGUGAUCAGUAAAUAUGGGAUCAUCUGGUCUCAUGUUCAAGGGGGAACCUGUACCGUCUUAAUCCACUACGACGCUGGAGAAUGGGAGAAAAAUGCAACAGACAAGCACCAGCUGGAUGAAAAGACCGGAUCACUCAUCAUUCAGUCCCUCACUGCUAAUGACAGCGGACUUUAUGAGAGGCAGCUCAUCAGUGAGACCGAGGGCAUCGUGAUACCUCAAAAAUUUAUUGUGACUGUUGUGGGACCGUCCAGUUAUUCUGCAACACCAACAACACCAGCACAAACAUCAGCUGAUCACAGCACCGCUGGUGAGUUUUCAGCGAGGGCCCGUUUCCAUAUAUCAGUAUGAAUACAUCAGCAUUUAUUACAGCAGACAUGGGUAGUUUUUAUAUUUUUAUCCUUCUCUGGCAGAGAAGACUGCCUUUCCUGUGUCUAUUUUUUGUGAUGUAUUUGGGUUUCCUAUUGAAGUUUUUAGUUAUAAUAUUUAAUAUUUCACUUUUUGCCAUUUGCAA
rnacentral:lncRNA from 1 species